CAGUAGCCGCGGUAAUACAGAGGGUGCGAGCGUUAAUCGGAUUUACUGGGCGUAAAGCGUGCGUAGGCGGCUUUUUAAGUCGGAUGCGAAAUCCCUGAGCUUAACUUAGGAAUUGCAUUCGAUACUGGGAAGCUAGAGUAUGGGAGAGGAUGGUAGAAUUCCAGGUGUAGCGGUGAAAUGCGUAGAGAUCUGGAGGAAUACCGAUGGCGAAGGCAGCCAUCUGGCCUAAUACUGACGCUGAGGUACGAAAGCAUGGGGAGCAAACAGGAUUAGAGACCCCGGUAGUCCCUGUCUCUUAUAC
rnacentral:rRNA from 1 species